GAUGAACGCUGGCGGCGUGCCUAAUACAUGCAAGUCGAGCGAACGGACGAGAAGCUUGCUUCUCUGAUGUUAGCGGCGGACGGGUGAGUAACACGUGGAUAACCUACCUAUAAGACUGGGAUAACUUCGGGAAACCGGAGCUAAUACCGGAUAAUAUUUUGAACCGCAUGGUUCAAAAGUGAAAGACGGUCUUGCUGUCACUUAUAGAUGGAUCCGCGCUGCAUUAGCUAGUUGGUAAGGUAACGGCUUACCAAGGCAACGAUGCAUAAACGACCUGAGAGGGUGAUCGGCCACACUGGAACUGAGACAGGGUCCAGGCUCCUACGGGAGGCAGCGGUAGGGAAUCUUCCGCAAUAGUCGAAAGCAUGACGGAGCAACGCCGCGUGAGUGAUGAAGGUCUUCGGAUCGUAAAACUCUGUUAUUAGGGAAGAACAGAUGUGUAAGUAACUGUGCACAUCUUGACGGUAACUAAUCAGAAAGCCACGGCUAACUACGUG
rnacentral:rRNA from 1 species